rnacentral:rRNA from 1 species
UACGAAGGUCCCGAGCGUUGUUCGGAAUCACUGGGCGUAAAGGGAGCGUAGGCGGCGUGGUAAGUCAGAUGUGAAAUCCCGGGGCUCAACCCCGGAACUGCAUCCGAAACUGAGGGCCUAGAGUAGUGGAGAGGGAAGCAGAAUUCCUGGUGUAGAGGUGAAAUUCGUAGAUAUCAGGAGGAACACCGGUGGCGAAGGCGGCUUCCUGGCCAUUCACUGACGCUGAGACGCGAAAGCGUGGGGAGCAAACAGG